UACGUAGGGUGCGAGCGUUUGUCCGGAAUUAUUGGGCGUAAAGAGCUUGUAGGCGGUCUGUCGCGUCUGCUGUGAAAAUCCGGGGCUCAACCCCGGACUUGCAGUGGGUACGGGCAGACUAGAGUGUGGUAGGGAGACUGGAAUUCCUGGUGUAGCGGUGAAAUGCGCAGAUAUCAGGAGGAACACCGAUGGCGAAGGCAGGAUCU
rnacentral:rRNA from 1 species